UUUUCUCACUUAAAAACGAGGAAAACCAUCAGCUUGGAGUGAAUGGUGAAGAGGAAGCAUAGGAAAUUUGAAAUGAAUCAGAAGGGAGAAGACAAAGCAGCAGAUCCUGUCAGAAGAAAAGCAUCACAGCUGAGAAUGAUCUGAAGUUGUCCAGUGAGGAAAGAUCCUGAUUCCACAGCCACUCCAGAGAAGAGAACUUAUCUGAGGGAUACAGAUAAUGACACACCCCCCACUCCUUGGAAUUUUUGAGCAACAUGAAGAACCUACCACACUGUACCAACACCUGGUAGCCACUGUUGCUUUGGUGCUGCUUGUUUAUAUUUAUCUUCUGUGCUUUAAUUGUUCGAUAACUUUUCUUCUUUCUUC